UUAUAACAUGCACCAUUUUUGUUCGGACAAUAAAAUGCAGGCGUGAACUGAUUAUAUCAUUGCGUCUGUUGGUAUUGCAAUAUCAAAGAACCUGAUAAUUUUUCAGGUUCUUUUUUUG
rnacentral:sRNA from 1 species